rnacentral:rRNA from 1 species
ACGUGCUACAAUGGCGAUGACAAUGGGAAGCCAGGUGGUGACGCCGAGCCGAUCCCAAAAAAGUCGUCUCAGUUCAGAUCGCAGCCUGCAACUCGGCUGCGUGAAGGUGGAAUCGCUAGUAAUCGCGCAUCAGCAUGGCGCGGUGAAUACGUUCCCGGGCCUU